rnacentral:rRNA from 1 species
UAGGGAAUCUUCCACAAUGGGCGGAAAGCCUGAUGGAGCAACGCCGCGUGUGUGAUGAAGGGUUUCGGCUCGUAAAACACUGUUGUAAGAGAAGAAUGACAUUGAGAGUAACUGUUCAAUGUGUGACGGUAUCUUACCAGAAAGGAACGGCUAAAUACGUGCCAG